rnacentral:rRNA from 1 species
AAUCAACGCUGGCGGCGUGCCUCAGACAUGCAAGUCGAACGCGAAAGUCCCCUUCGGGGGACAAGUAGAGUGGCGCACGGGUGAGUAACACGUAGGUAAUCUACCCUUGGAUGGGGAAUAACAACCGGAAACGGUUGCUAAUACCGCAUAAUGCAGCGGCACCUAAUGGUGACAGUUGUUAAAGCGGGGGAUCGAAAGACCUCGCGUCUAAAGAGGAGCCUGCGGCGGAUUAGCUAGUUGGUAAGGAAUGGCUUACCAAGGCUACGAUCCGUAACCGGCCUGAGAGGGCGGUCGGUCACACUGACACUGACAUACGGGUCAGACUCCUACGGGAGGCAGCAGUCGGGAAUUUUGGGCAAUGGGCGAAAGCCUGACCCAGCAACGCCGCGUGAAGGAUGAAAUUUUUCGGAAUGUAAACUUCGCAAGAACAGGAAGAAUAAGUGUGGGACAAUACCCCACAUGAUGACGGUACUGUUUGUAAGCUCCGGCUAACUCCGUGCCAGCAGCCGCGGUAAG